rnacentral:rRNA from 1 species
ACAGCAGUAGGGAAUCUUCCGCAAUGGACGAAAGUCUGACGGAGCAACGCCGCGUGAGUGAUGAAGGCUUUCGGGUCGUAAAACUCUGUUGUUAGGGAAGAACAAGUACGAGAGUAACUGCUCGUACCUUGACGGUACCUAACCAGAAAGCCACGGCUAACUACGUGCCAGCAGCCGCGGUAAUACGUAGGUGGCAAGCGUUAUCCGGAAUUAUUGGGCGUAAAGCGCGCGCAGGCGGUUUCUUAAGUCUGAUGUGAAAGCCCACGGCUCAACCGUGGAGGGUCAUUGGAAACUGGGGAACUUGAGUGCAGAAGAGAAAAGCGGAAUUCCACGUGUAGCGGUGAAAUGCGUAGAGAUGUGGAGGAACACCAGUGGCGAAGGCGGCUUUUUGGUCUGUAACUGACGCUGAGGCGCGAAAGCGUGGGGAGCAAACAGGAUUAGAU